rnacentral:rRNA from 1 species
UGGGGAAUAUUGCACAAUGGGCGCAAGCCUGAUGCAGCCAUGCCGCGUGUUUGAAGAAGGCCUUCGGGUUGUAAAGUACUUUCAGUCGGGAGGAAGGUGGUAAGGUUAAUAACCUUGGCAAUUGACGUUACCGACAGAAGAAGCACCGGCUAACUCCGUGCCAGCAGCCGCGGUAAUACGGAGGGUGCAAGCGUUAAUCGGAAUUACUGGGCGUAAAGCGCACGCAGGCGGUUGAUUGAGUCAGAUGUGAAAUCCCCGGGCUUAACCCGGGAAUUGCAUCUGAUACUGGUCAGCUAGAGUCUUGUAGAGGGGGGUAGAAUUCCAGGUGUAGCGGUGAAAUGCGUAGAGAUCUGGAGGAAUACCGGUGGCGAAGGCGGCCCCCUGGACAAAGACUGACGCUCAGGUGCGAAAGCGUGGGGAGCAAACAGG